CUGACAUAUGGCCUGACCUCGGAACUCACUUUCACCCAGUGCCAUUCGGCCAGCGUCUCCACAGACCAAGACGGGAAAAGCUCUUCCUUUACGAAGCGCAGGUGCUUCUGUCUGUUGGUCACCCACGUAACAACAAGGCAGUUGGGAGCGGCCAGUUGAUGGAUGGGGAUCUGCUGUAUUUGCAGAGGAGCCGCAUCCCACUGAGUGUGACAUCAGUGUCCCGGUAACCACGCCGAAGCCCAGAGCCCUGGCACCCGGCAGUCAAUUCCACAGGGCUCUCUUUCCACUAUUCAUACUAUGGAGGUCGCUGUGUCUGAAGAACACCCCUUGCUCGACAGCACCCGGCCUCUGUCCAACACGACUCACACAGGGAGGCAAGAGGUCGGUAUUCCGAGUUCCCCCGCUGCCGCUGCCGCUCCUACCAUCCCUCGUCCACCUGGGAGUGAAGUCCCCUCGGCUCUGAGAGGAAUGACCCAGUUACGCCAGCCUGGACUGCUCCUGACCAAACCUCCACGUCUGGUGCCCGCUCUCCACGUUCAGUGCUUAACCUCACAUCCCGCUGCCUGGACAGCGCGAACCCUGCAAUCAUCCCGGGCAACUGCAAAGCACGCUCCCCAUGGGGCGCAGACUUCAACCACUGCCCUCCCGCACACACGGCUGCCUCCACCCUGCAGGUCUGCCUGCGCUCACUCCCCCUCGCUCCACCUCUGAAUGAGAAACCUCAGUCUCCGCGGAGGCGGAGCCGCCGGUCUCACCUGCUCUUUGACCUGAUCACGCCCUGCGCCCCCGCCACCUUAUGAUCCAUUCGGUUCUUCCUGACCAAGUCGCUCCUCGCCUCACAGCCCACCAACAACCGCGUCCCUGCUCACCAGCGCCCUCGACCCCGACCCCACCUUUACCCUCAGCCUCUGGGUUCCUGCAAACCCCCAGUCCUGAGUCAGUACCACAACUGUGUGCGUGUGUGUGUGUGUGUGUGUGUUACAGAACCAGGGCCUUGCACGUGCAAAGCACUGGCUGUACCACUGAGCUGCACCCCAGGCAAAACCACUUCAUUCACCUUCUUCAUAUCGGGAAAAUCGGGCGAAGAAAAUGCAGAGCAGAUGAAUCGGAUCACUAAAUAUUUAUUAAAUCCAUGUUCAGGCCCUCAAAACUAUUCAGCAACUCACUUAUCCUUGGCCAAGCCCUAGAAAAUCCUCCACUUUCCAAGUCCUGUGCCCAGGCUCACCCUAGGUAGAUGAAGGUAACUCAUACAUCAGUGAAACUACAGGUCACCAAGUUCCUUCAACUACCCAAACAUCUCCUCCCUCCUUUCUACUCCUUAAUUUCUCUAUUUUCAUCCGUUUCCUCUUAAAGGAAUUGACAUGACUUUACCUAUUAAAGCUUACCCUUCCACCUGCUUUCUUAUUUCUAUACUUUAGUCUGGUCAACUAUUCCCCUCCUUCUGUAUUUGCAAUGUCUCUAGUAGUUCUUUACCGUCAACCUAUAAUAUAUUCAUAUUAUGCCAUAUGAAAAAAGAAAGAAGAGAGAAGGGGAGGGAGAAAGGGACAAGAGAGGCGGGAAGAACAGAGAAAAGAAAACCCCCUCAUUUCGGGCUCCUUCUGUCUACACUUACGCUGAGGAUAAGUCUUUCCACUUCUCCCCCUCAGUCAACAGGGAGCCAUCUACACCACACCUGCUCUGAGAAAAGUAAGUGGCCUCCCAAGGGCCAAACGAAAUGCCUCCAACACUGGAAUCCGCUGGAAUGCAAGGCGGCUCUAAGAUGUCAGGAAUGACUGGCAAACAUUUCUGAAAUGAACAAACUAGUGAAAGAAUUCAGAGCUCAAGUACCCAAGUCCCCUGCCAUCUAGACCAGGGCCCUUCCAGCAGAUUAGCAUUUCCCAUAAUCUAAAUGAUGGUUUAAAAGACUAACUUUGUCACAGUAUGAAGGAUGUGAGCUCAAAAAUUUGAAGUGGCAUGGUUCCAAUAAUUGCAGAUUUCUUGAUUGCUCUAAUUUUGUUUAAUUGGGUUGAUGGGGGGUAUUUAUAUUCCCUCUUCUAGCUCUAAUCUCAUGGAAAUCACUGGGCAAACUCCAAUAUAUGCAUCUUUAUAUGUUGAAAAUAUGCAAUGGAAAAUAUGCAGUAUCACCUAUUCUUCAGAAGAAACAUGUAUCUGUGUGAGUUUGGCUUAGGCAAUGAUUUCUUACAUACAACACUAAAAGCAUAAGCCAUAAAAGA